CACAUUUUAAUUCAUCCAACCAUACACCUUACUAACGGCCAAAUAAUUUGGACCGUCGGAUCCAAAUCCAAAACUUCACUAUAUGUUGACAUCUUCAGCAAAUUAACAAAUUACACUAAAACUUCUGAGUUCUUCAUUUUUCUUUUCUUUAUGCUCUCGAUUCACCAGAAGCUCAUCUUCUUCCCCUUUAUGAUCGUCGAAUUUUUCAAGUAUUUCUUGAAUUCUCUCAAGAGUACUCGCAUAAUUUUUCCUCUACAUGGUAUAUAUUCAAACAAGUGGUCAAAAACUACAAGGUAUUUUCAACAUAUUAUCAAACCAAAAUUACUCUUAGUUUUGUUUGUAAACAAGUUUCAAUAA